UCCGGUAUGGUCUAGUGGGUGGCUAGGAUACCCGGCUCUCAUCCGGGAAGCCCGGGUUCAAUUCCCGGUACCGGAA